UACAGAGGGUGCGAGCGUUAAUCGGAGUUACUGGGCGUAAAGGGCGCGCAGGCGGUUGGACAAGAGUGGUGUGAAAUCCCCGGGCUUAACCCGGGAACUGCAUUACUGACUGUCUGGCUGGAGUACUGUAGAGGGCAGUGGAAUUUCCGGUGUAGCGGUGAAAUGCGUAGAGAUCGGAAGGAACACCAGUGGCGAAGGCGGCUGUCUGGACAGAUACUGACGCUGAGGCGCGAGAGCGUGGGGAGCAAACAGG
rnacentral:rRNA from 1 species